rnacentral:rRNA from 1 species
GAUGAACGCUGGCGGCGUGCUUAACACAUGCAAGUCGAGCGAAGCGGCUGAAUUGAUUCUUCGGAUGAUUUUCAGUUGACUGAGCGGCGGACGGGUGAGUAACGCGUGGGUGACCUGCCCCAUACCGGGGGAUAACAGCUGGAAACGGCUGCUAAUACCGCAUAAGCACACAGAGCUGCAUGGCUCGGUGUGAAAAACUCCGGUGGUAUGGGAUGGGCCCGCGUCUGAUUAGGCAGUUGGCGGGGUAACGGCCCACCAAACCGACGAUCAGUAGCCGGCCUGAGAGGGCGACCGGCCACAUUGGGACUGAGACACGGCCCAAACUCCUACGGGAGGCAGCAGUGGGGAAUAUUGCACAAUGGGGGAAACCCUGAUGCAGCGACGCCGCGUGAGCGAAGAAGUAUUUCGGUAUGUAAAGCUCUAUCAGCAGGGAAGAUAAUGACGGUACCUGACUAAGAAGCCCCGGCUAACUACGUGCCAGCAGCCGCGGUAAUACGUAGGGGGCAAGCGUUAUCCGGAUUUACUGGGUGUAAAGGGAGCGUAGACGGCAAGGCAAGUCUGAUGUGAAAACCCAGGGCUUAACCCUGGGACUGCAUUGGAAACUGUCUGGCUCGAGUGCCGGAGAGGUAAGCGGAAUUCCUAGUGUAGCGGUGAAAUGCGUAGAUAUUAAGAAGAACACCAGUGGCGAAGGCGGCUUACUGGACGGUAACUGACGUUGAGGCUCGAAAGCGUGGGGAGCAAACAGGAUUAGAUACCCUGGUAGUCCACGCCGUAAA